rnacentral:piRNA from 1 species
UGCCUUGACAACUGAUUGGGGAACAAGGA